rnacentral:rRNA from 1 species
AUUGAACGCUGGCGGCAGGCCUAAUACAUGCAAGUCGAACGAGUGGCGGACGGGUGUGUAAUGUCUGGGAAACUGCCUGAUGGCGGGGGAAAACUUUUGGAAACGGUACCUAAUACCGCAUACCAUCAGAUGUGCCCAGAUGGGAUUAGGUUGUUGGUGGGGUAACGGCGCACCAAGGCGACGAUCCCUCACUGGUCUGAGAGGAUGACCAGCCACACUUGAAAUGAGCUACGGUCCAGACGCCUACGGGAGGCAGCAGUGGGGAAUAUUGCACAAUGGGCGCAAGCCGGAUGCAGCCAUGCCGCGUGUAUGAAGAAGGCCUUCGGGUUGUAAAGUACUUUCAGCGGGGAGGCGUUACCCGCAGAAGAAGCACCGGCUAACUCCGUGCCAGCCGCCGCGGUAAUAC